UACAGGGGGUGCAAACGUUGCUCGGAAUCAUUGGGCGUAAAGCGCACGUAGGCGGUUCGUUAUGUCGGAUGUGAAAGCCCUUGGCUUAACCGAGGAAGUGCAUCCGAAACUGGCGAGCUAGAGUACUAAAGAGGAUCGCGGAAUUCCCGGUGUAGAGGUGAAAUUCGUAGAUAUCGGGAGGAACACCAGUGGCGAAGGCGGCCAUCUGGAUCAACACUGACGCUGAGGCACGAAAGCGUGGGGAGCAAACAGG
rnacentral:rRNA from 1 species